UCUAGAACUCGAGAUAUGGGCUGAACACUGAACAGUGUCUAGGCUAUAGGACAAAUUCUGACUUCUCUUUUGUUGCUACAAUUUGAACUUGAAAACGGCCGUUGUGAAUCUUGGACUCUUCAUGAAAGUUUUAGACCUAUGUCUUAGCUUUCUAUU
rnacentral:pre_miRNA from 1 species